CAGCUGGACGACGGGGAGCUGAUCGCCUACAUCAUCAAUGGGCUCGACGAUGAUUAUGAGCCUGUUAUCUCCACACUGGUGGGGAAAACUGAGCCGCUCACCCUCGCUGAAGCCUACUCUCAACUUCUCAGUUUUGAGA
rfam:Oryza barthii chromosome 9, whole genome shotgun sequence.